rnacentral:rRNA from 1 species
UUGGAGGGCAAGUCUGGUGCCAGCAGCCGCGGUAAUUCCAGCUCCAAUAGCGUAUAUUAAAGUUGUUGCAGUUAAAAAGCUCGUAGUUGAAUUUCGGGAUUGACACAUCGGUCGUGCCUUAAGGGGUAUGAACUGGUGUAGUCAGUUUCUCACCUUCUGGAGAACCGCGAUGUCCUUAAUUGGGUGCCGCGAGGAACCAGGACCUUUACUUUGAAAAAAUUAGAGUGUUUAAAGCAGGCAUUUUGCUUGAAUACAUUAGCAUGGAAUAAUAAAAUAGGACGGAUGGUUCUAUUUUGUUGGUUUCUAGGAUCACCGUAAUGAUUAAUAGGGAUAGUUGGGGGCAUUAGUAUUCAAUUGUCAGAGGUGAAAUUCUUGGAUUUAUUGAAGACUAACUACUGCGAAAGCAUUUGCCAAGGAUGUUUUCAUUAAUCAAGAACGAAAGUUAGGGGAUCGAAGACGAUCAGAUACCGUCGUAGUCUUAACCAUAAACUAUGCCGACUAGGAAUCAGACGAUGUUAAUUUUUUAAUGACUCGUUUGGCACCUUACGGGAAAC